rnacentral:rRNA from 1 species
GCGAGUGAACCGGGAAGAGCUCAAAUUUGAAAUCUGGCAGUCUUCGAUUGUCCGAGUUGUAAUCUAUAGAAGCGUUUUCCGUGCUGAACUGUGUAUAAGUCCCUUGGAACAGGGUAUCAAAGAGGGUGACAAUCCCGUACUUUACACAAUCAUCAGUGCUCUGUGAUACGUUCUCUACGAGUCGAGUUGUUUGGGAAUGCAGCUCAAAAUGGGUGGUAAAUUCCAUCUAAAGCUAAAUAUUGGCGAGAGACCGAUAGCGAACAAGUACCGUGAGGGAAAGAUGAAAAGCACUUUGGAAAGAGAGUUAAACAGUACGUGAAAUUGUUGAAAGGGAAACGAAAUUCAUGAAUCAUGUUUAUUGGACUCAGCCGUUCUUCGGUGUACUUCCUUUAAACGGGUCAACAUCAGUUUUGUCCGAUGGAUAAAGGUAGUAGGAAGGUGGCUCUCUCGGGAGUGUUAUAGCCUAUUGCUGCAUACAUUGGAUGAGACUGAGGACUGCAGCUUGCCUUUAUGGCCGGGGUUCGCCCACGUUCAAGCUUAGGAUGUUGACAUAUUCUCGAAUCACGACCC